rnacentral:rRNA from 1 species
GACGAACGCUGGCGGCGCGCCUAAAACAUGCAAGUCGAACGAGGUCUUUUAGAGUGCUUGCACUCUGGCUGACCUAGUGGCGGACGGGUGAGUAACACGUGAGCAACCUGCCCUGGAGUGGGGGAUAACGUCUGGAAACGGACGCUAAUACCGCAUAACAUCCGAGAAUGGCAUCUUUUUCGGAUCAAAGGAGUAAUCCGCUUUGGGAUGGGCUCGCGCCCGAUUAGAUAGUUGGUGGGGUAAUGGCCUACCAAGUCUGCGAUCGGUAGCCGGACUGAGAGGUUGAUCGGCCACAUUGGGACUGAGACACGGCCCAGACUCCUACGGGAGGCAGCAGUUAGGGAUAUUGCACAAUGGGGGAAACCCUGAUGCAGCGACGCCGCGUGAGUGAUGACGGCCUUCGGGUUGUAAAGCUCUGUGAUGGGGGACGAAACAAAUGACGGUACCCCAUCAGAAAGCCACGGCUAACUACGUGCCAGCAGCCGCCGUAACAC